rnacentral:rRNA from 1 species
GGGAUGAACCUUACGAUUAGGCUUAACAACAAGCAAAUCCGAAGGGUAACCAGGGAGAGAAACUUGGCUUCCACUUGUGAGGACGACCGCGGAUGGGUGAUAACGCGUAUGCAACUGCCUCUUAUGGGGAUAACCCGGAGAAAUCCGGACUAAUCCGCAUAUUCUUAAUUUCUCGCAUGAGUUAUUAAAGGAAAGAUUUAUUGCUAAGAGAUAGGCAUGCGUUCCAUUAGUUAAUUGUGAGGUAACGGCUCACCAAGGCAUCGAUGGAUAGGGGACUGAGAGCUGAUCCCCCACAUUGGGACUGAGACACGGCCCAAACUCCUACGGGAGGCAGCAGUGAGGAAUAUUGGUCAAUGGAGGAAACUCUGAACCAGCCAAGUCGCGUGAAGGAUGACGGUCCUAUGGAUUGUAAACUUCUUUAGUAGGCGAGUAAGGAUAGGUACGUGUACCUAUUAGAAAGUAGCCUAAGAAUAAGUAUCGGCUAACUCCGUGCCAGCAGCCGCGGUAAUACGGAGGAUACGAGCGUUAUCCGGAUUUAUUGGGUUUAAAGGGUGCGUAGGUGGCUGAUUAAGUCAGUGGUGAAAAGCUAUGGCUCAACCAUAGUCUUGCCGUUGAUACUGGUUAGCUUGAGUGUAGAUGAUGUAGGCGGAAUGCGUAGUGUAGCGGUGAAAUGCAUAGAUAUUACGCAGAACUCCGAUUGCGAAGGCAGCUUACAAAACUACUACUGACACUGAGGCACGAAAGCGUGGGUAUCAAACAGGAUUAGAUACCCUGGUAGUCCACGCCGUAAACUAUGAUUACUCAGAGUAUGCGAUAUACGGUAUGCUCUCAAGCGAAAGCAUUAAGUAAUCCACUAAGGAUGACUGCGCACG